rnacentral:lncRNA from 1 species
ACGUAUACAACUUAACCAACAUAAGUGUCCUGUACAUUCCGAAGUAAGGAAGAAGUUGCAUCAGGCUAAAGAGUACUGUGGAUACUGUCAAAGCUUAACCAAACAGGGUGAGUCAUAAAAAGGCAAACACAUUGAUCAUCAUGAGCGAUAUUCAGGUUUGUCUUUAUCACUCUAAAUUUGCGUAGACUCUCUAGGACUGUCAUUGCAUGAUUACACACACUGAGGCACGUUGUUUG